CAACGAAUAUUCCGCAAUGGGCGAAAGCCUGACGGAGCGACGCCGCGUGAAGGAUGAAGUCCUUCGGGAUGUAAACUUCAAUAGUUUGUCAGGAAGUGAGGCGACCUAAUACGUCGCCGAGUUGACCAGCGAACGAAAGGGACGGCUAACUACGUGCCAGCAGCCGCGGUAAGACGUAGGGGGCGAGCGUUGUUCGGAAUUACUGGGCGUAAAGAGCUCGUAGGCUGGAAAUUAAGUAUUUGAACAAAUCUCCCGGCUCAACCGGGAACCGUUUAGAGAUACUGAUUUUCUUGAGAACAGGAGAGGGGAAUGGAAUUCCUAGUGUAGCGGUGAAAUGCGUAGAUAUUAGGAGGAACACCAGUGGCGAAGGCGGUUCCCUGGCCUGUUUCUGACGCUGAGGAGCGAAAGCUGGGGGAGCGAACG
rnacentral:rRNA from 1 species